AGGGCUGUAGCUCAGUGGUAGAGCAUCUGCCUUGCAUGCAGAAGAUCCCAGGUUCAAUCCCUGGCAACUCCA